UUUUAUAAUAAUUCUAUACUUGUUUGAAUAAUUUUUCUUUUGAAAAGAUUUGACAAAAAUAAAAACAAGAAAAUCAUAAACCCAUAUUACCAUUUUAACUAAGUAAAUUACCCCUUUAUUUCUCAUCAUUCACAUUUUAAUUAAGGAAACUUGCUCCUUAUUUCCCCUCUCAAAACCUCCUAUAAACUUCUACUGCUUUCCCUUGCCUUCCCCUUCACUCACGACACUCAGACAAAAAAAAAAUAAAAAAUUUCGCUGCUUCCUCCCUCCACUACUACUGCCUCCCCUGCGCCGCUGCUGCCUCAGCCGGAACCCACCACCGGCGACCUCGCUACAGCCCCGUACCACCACAACCAGUUCCUUUCAUCUCCCUUCUCUUCUAUCUUCCUCCCUUUUCUUGUUUAAAUUCUUCAAAGCUUUAAUCUUUACAUGAAUUUUUCGUUGAUUAACAAUUAUUAUAGUUUGAUUAUGUUUUUGAGUUGUGAAAGAUUGCAAAUUUAACGAGUUUAUGAUAUGUUAAGCAUAUAAUUAAUUUUCAGAUUUCAUAAUUUGUGAAAUUAGGGUUUAAAACUUGAUUUUCAUGGUUUUAGGGCUUAAAAACGUGUUGCUAAAAUUAUUUAAUUUGAGCAUGAUUUUGUUGUGAUUUUGCUAUGACUAUGAUGAUUUUUAAUUCAACAGCAAGUUCUUAAUUUUUCGUAACUAAUUUCUGAAUUUCCGUUUGUAAAAUUUCUUAAUCACGUUUUAAUCGCAUUUUGACCGUAACUCGUCUGAUUUUCGAAAAAAAAUAGUGUUUUUCGUGUGUAAAUGAUGUUCUAAUCAAAACUCACUACCUAUGGUAGUGAGCACUGCGCUCUCGUGGCCAAAUUCAGCUUCUAAGUAUGGUUUUCGUGCAGUUUUUGAUUUUUUAUGGAAGGUUUAAUUGAGUUUUCAUGAAACUAAUUAAAUUAUAAUUAUAUAUUUCAAGUUUAGAUUGUUGUAGUCCUAUAUUCUACUAUUAAGCUAAAAUUUCAGAUUUUAAUCUUAACUUUAAAUAGCUUUAAGUCAUGGUUUUAUGAUGCGUUUUCAAGUUCUCAACAUACUAACAUACUAUAUAAUGAUGAUUUCGAAUGAAAAUGUUUAUGCAGUUGUUUAUAACUUUAAACUAAUUCUUCAGAUUAUAAUUCCACUUUAGAGUUGCUGAAAUUUCAUGCUACAAGCCAUAUUUUCAUGAUUUUAAUAUACAAGCUUGUAAUUGAACUUUGAAUUACUAGCUUUGGCUAUUGUGAGCAACUUAAAGACAUUAUUUCAAUGAUUUAAGUGAUUUUAAAAUAGUUUAGUAUUGCUGUAAUAUAUGUUGCUUGGGUAUUAAUUGAGCUAUUGUUGUUCUGUCUAGGAGAGGACUUCGUAGAGGGUGACUUCUAACCUUAAAGUGGCCAAUCAAUUUGUGUACUCAAGAUUCAUCACAGGUUUUUGCAUAAACUGUCUUGCAUCAGGGUGAUAGGAUUUGAGUGGAGAGUUGGUUAACCAGUUAGCUUAUUUCAUAACACAGAUUGAAUUUUAUUUUGGUGUUGGUUCCAUUACUUCCUAUUGUACUGGAUUUUGAAUAAGGGCCGUUAUGGUUCCAACUUGUAAGACUUUGAGUUUUGACUUCCAGUUUUGAAACUUAUAUUCUUUUUAAAACUAAGUUAGUUUUCUGCUGCUGA